rnacentral:rRNA from 1 species
CCUACGGGUGGCAGCAGUGGGGAAUAUUGCACAAUGGGGGGAACCCUGAUGCAGCAACGCCGCGUGGGUGAAGAAGUACUUCGGUAUGUAAAGCCCUGUCAGCAGGGAAGAAAAUGACGGUACCUGACCAAGAAGCCCCGGCUAACUACGUGCCAGCAGCCGCGGUAAUACGUAGGGGGCAAGCGUUAUCCGGAUUUACUGGGUGUAAAGGGAGCGUAGACGGCAAGGCAAGUCUGGAGUGAAAGCCCGGGGCCCAACCACGGGACUGCUUUGGAAACUGUGUUGCUGGAGUGCAGGAGGGGUAAGCGGAAUUCCUAGUGUAGCGGUGAAAUGCGUAGAUAUUAGGAGGAACACCGGUGGCGAAGGCGGCUUACUGGACUGUAACUGACGUUGAGGCUCGAAGGCGUGGGGAGCAAACAGGAUUAGAUACCCGGGUAGUC